UUAACGUUUGUUUUUUUACUCAGACGCUCACACAAACACGGGUUUGUAGGGUCUUCUGGCGGGCACUGCGGCCGCCCCGCAGGGGGCAGCAUGGCGCGCCGGAGCGCUGGCCCGCCGAAGCAACAUGGAGAAGUUCACACGGUUUGGUUGGUCGGCCCUCGGGCGUCUCCGCCUCCGGGCCAGGACUUUUAAUGAUCCUUCCGCAGGUUCACCUACGGAAA
rnacentral:misc_RNA from 1 species